rnacentral:rRNA from 1 species
GGGAUAACCAAACGAAAGUUUGGCUAAUACCGCGUAAGCUCUAAGGAGGAAAGUAGGGGACCUAAAUAAGGCCUUACGCUAUUUGAUCGGCCGAUGUCGGAUUAGCUAGUUGGUGGGGUAAUGGCUCACCAAGGCAAUGAUCCGUAGCGGGUCUGAGAGGACGAUCCGCCACACUGGGACUGAGACACGGCCCAA